rnacentral:rRNA from 1 species
AGCGAACGCUGGCGGCAGGCCUAACACAUGCAAGUCGAACGAAGUCUUCGGACUUAGUGGCGGACGGGUGAGUAACACGUGGGAACGUACCUUUUGGUUCGGAACGACUCAGGGAAACUUGAGCUAAUACCGGAUGAGCCCUUAGGGGGAAAGAUUUAUCGCCGAAAGAGCGGCCCGCGUUAGAUUAGCUAGUUGGUGAGGUAAAGGCUCACCAAGGCUACGAUCUAUAGCUGGUCUGAGAGGAUGAUCAGCCACACUGGGACUGAGGCACGGCCCAGACUCCUACGGGAGGCAGCAGUGGGGAAUCUUGCGCAAUGGGCGAAAGCCUGACGCAGCCAUGCCGCGUGAUCGAUGAAGGCCUUAGGGUUGUAAAGAUCUUUCAGUGGGGAAGAUAAUGACUGUACCCACAGAAGAAGCCCCGGCUAACUCCGUGCCAGCAGCCGCCGUAAGAC